AUGGAGAUAAUUUCUUCACCAAAACACCAUAAUCAACAUGGAAUUUUGAACCCAGCAGUGACGAAGGGAGCAUCUAUUGUUAUAAGAAAUUUUGUCAGCACAAACCCUAAUUAUCUACGAACUCUUAGUCAGGCACAUGCUGGCUGGAUCUUUGGAGCAAUAGCAGAGCUCAUUGAUAACUCCAGGGAUGCUGGUGCAUCCAGGUUGGAUAUUUCCAUCCAAUCUAUGUUUUCAAAGCAAGCAGGGCAAAAAGUUCCUGUCUUAUGUGUUGUUGAUAAUGGCCAUGGAAUGACUUAUGCCCAAAUGAUGAGAAUGGUCUCAUUUGGUCACAAAGGACCAAAUGAACACUGCCAGGAUCAGAUUGGGAGGUUUGGAAUUGGAUUUAAGACUGGUGCUAUGAAACUUGGGAGAGAUGCAUUUGUUCUUACCCAAACUUCAACGUCCAGAUCAGUAUCCUUUCUAUCCCAGUCUUUUAAUGAAAAUAAAGACAAUCUUGAGAUCCCUGUGGUGACAUAUUGCAAGAAAGAUCAAUACAUGGAAGUUGAUUUGGGUGUGCAAUCUGAAGCUACUGCAGAAUAUAACCUGAAUGCUAUCAAGAAAUUUUCCCCAUUUAAUGAGUAUUUCAUUGGAGAAAAGGUGGGCUUAUUUGGUGAAGAGGGCACUGGCACACAGGUUUACAUAUGGAAUUUGGAUAGAUGGGGUACAGAUUACACCUUGGAGUGGAACUCACAAAAAACUGAUGAAAGCCCUGACAGUCAUGGUAAUGGGGACAUAUUAAUCCGUUCAAAAAGAGUCAGAUCACGUCCAGGACAAACAAAUGGCAAUGUACCCUUGGAUUAUUCACUUAAAGCUUAUGUAGAAGUUAUGUUUCUGAAUCCUCAGAUGAAAAUUACUGUCCAAGGGUCUCCGGUCAUAGUCUGUCAUUUGGAAAAGACUCUUCGCAAUACUUCGGUUUUGUCUGGGGAAAUAAUGGGAAGGACCAUUCAGCUCACUCUAGGAACAAGUGAUGUGGAAUGGGGCAGAAUGAACCGUGGAAUUUUCUUGUAUUGGCAUGGUCGUCUAAUAGAGUCUUACAAACGAGUUGGAGCUCAAAAGCAUAAUGCUGACACGGGCCGUGGAAUAAUAGGAGUUGUAGAUAUUACAAAUCUCAUUGAUGAUAAAGAUGGUCAUACUUGGGUUCUUAACAGUAAACAGGGGUUUCAAGAUUGUGAGAUAUAUGCAGAACUGGAGGAGUGGCUUGGUAGAAAAACCGAUGAAUACUGGGAUGCAAAUUUUGACCCUCUUAAUUUGGUAAGGGAGUAUGAGUCAGUUUAUGUUGAAAACAUCUUAUACAUAUCUGGUCAUGAAGUACUCGAAGUAAUCUCUCUAAGCACCUACGACAUAGAUUGA
rnacentral:rRNA from 1 species